rnacentral:rRNA from 1 species
CCUACGGGAGGUAGCAGUGGGGAAUACUGCACAAUGGGCGCAAGCCUGAUGCAGCCAUACCGCAUGUAUGAAGAAGGCCUUCGGGUUGUAAAGUACUUUCAGCGGGGAGGAAGGGAGUAAAGUUAAUACCUUUGCUCAUUGACGUUACCCGCAGAAGAAGCACCGGCUAACUCCAUGCCAGCAGCCGCGGUAAU